rnacentral:rRNA from 1 species
GACGAACGCUGGCGGCGUGCCUAAUACAUGCAAGUCGAGCGGACUGAUUAAGAGCUUGCUCUUAUGACGUUAGCGGCGGACGGGUGAGUAACACGUGGGCAACCUGCCCUGUAGAUCGGGAUAACACCGAGAAAUCGGUGCUAAUACCGGGUAAUAUCUGAGAUCACAUGAUCUUAGGUUAAAAGAUGGCUCCGGCUAUCACUACAGGAUGGGCCCGCGGCGCAUUAGCUAGUUGGUAAGGUAACGGCUUACCAAGGCGACGAUGCGUAGCCGACCUGAGAGGGUGAUCGGCCACACUGGGACUGAGACACGGCCCAGACUCCUACGGGAGGCAGCAGUAGGGAAUCUUCCGCAAUGGACGAAAGUCUGACGGAGCAACGCCGCGUGAGUGAUGAAGGGUUUCGGCUCGUAAAGCUCUGUUGUUAGGGAAGAAACAGUACCGAACGAACUAGGUCGGUACCUUGACGGUACCUAACCAGAAAGCCACGGCUAACUACGUG